rnacentral:rRNA from 1 species
UGGGGAAUUUUGCACAAUGGGGGAAACCCUGAUGCAGCGACGCCGCGUGAUUUAGAAGGCCUUCGGGUUGUAAAAAUCUUUUCUAUGGGAAGAAAAUGACAGUACCAUAGGAAUAAGGACCGGCUAAUUACGUGCCAGCAGCCGCGGUAAUACGUAAGGUCCGAGCGUUGUCCGGAAUCAUUGGGCGUAAAGGGUACGUAGGCGGGUAAGCAAGUUAGAAGUGAAAUCCUGUAGCUCAACUACAGUAAGCUUUUAAAACUGCUCAUCUUGAGAUAUGGAAGGGAAAGUGGAAUUCCUAGUGUAGCGGUGAAAUGCGCAGAUAUUAGGAGGAAUACCGGUGGCGAAAGCGGCUCUCUGGUCUGUAACUGACGCUGAGGCUCGAAAGCGUGGGGAGCGAACAGG